CCAAAGAGAAUUAAUUUCGUUUUCUUCUUCUUUAGUUACAAAGAGUGUUACACUGUACCUUUGAGGAAAACUUUCUUUCAUCAUUCCUGUAAAUGUGGACAUGCAACUUUUCUCACCACAGAGCUACAGAAAACAUUUCUAAAAAUGUGCUGAUAACAGAACAAGGAGAAUGGCCCAGACAGGAACAGAGGGAAGAUCAUGUGAAGACACAGGGAGAAGAUGGCCAUCCAUGGAAGAGGCCAAGGAGAGAGGCCUCAAAAGAAACCUGCCUUUAGACACCUUGAUCUUGGACUUGCAGCCUCCACAACAAAGAGAAAAUACAUUUCUGUUCAAGCUCUCCAGUCCAAGAUAAGGAAACUGAACAACAAGAGGGUGGUGACUUCCCAAGGUCAUACAACUAGGAAAUGAUAGAGCCAGGAUAUGAUGAACUCAGUUGAACUGACUCGAACUUGUGUCAACACCUUUAUGGAGACUUUCCUUGGGAUGAAG
rnacentral:lncRNA from 1 species